rnacentral:rRNA from 1 species
GCGGCACCUUGACGGUACCUAACCAGAAAGCCACGGCUAACUACGUGCCAGCAGCCGCGGUAAUACGUAGGUGGCAAGCGUUGUCCGGAAUUAUUGGGCGUAAAGGGCUCGCAGGCGGUUUCUUAAGUCUGAUGUGAAAGCCCCCGGCUCAACCGGGGAGGGUCAUUGGAAACUGGGGAACUUGAGUGCAGAAGAGGAGAGUGGAAUUCCACGUGUAGCGGUGAAAUGCGUAGAGAUGUGGAGGAACACCAGUGGCGAAGGCGACUCUCUGGUCUGUAACUGACGCUGAGGAGCGAAAGCGUGGGGAGCGAACAGGAUUAGAUACCCUGGUAGUCCACGCCGUAAACGAUGAGUGCUAAGUGUUAGGGGGUUUCCGCCCCUUAGUGCUGCAGCUAACGCAUUAAGCACUCCGCCUGGGGAGUACGGUCGCAAGACUGAAACUCAAAGGAAU